UUCUGAAUAGAGUCAGACUAAGUGUUUACCGUUUGGAUCUACUAUUACUGCAACUCGUGCCCUAGCGUAAGUUGUUAGCGUGAGAUUGUGCGAAACUGCAAGACAAUUAUUCUGGCCUGAACACUCUCGUAGCUCGGUACUUCGUAGAGUCUCCAUGUCACGGACAGUUCGGGGGUUCAUCCGCGACUAACCUCUGACACGGAGUAGACAGUUUUUAAAAAUGGACAAAAGGUUGGAUGCAUCAAGAUCAAGUUAUAACGAGGAUGUCUCCACUCAUUCUAAGAAGACCAAGAAAAGGUCUAGCAAAAGGAGCAGUAUACUUGGUCCUUGGAUGAACAGUGUUCAGAGCAAUCAAAACAGUGAUGUAUUACCUAACAUGGAGUAUCAGCAUGUUCUGUGGCAGUCGAAUAUGCAACAGAAUUUUCAAAGUAAUGGACAACGUCUCUUCGCAACAACUUCCGAUCCAAGCAUGUGCGGCUAUGCUCAAAUGCCAAUGACAUACACAAUGGAACCUGUUUCGUUACCAGCCAUGUAUAGAUUGUAUCAGCCGGUACCAGUCUCUGGUAUGAGGACCGUUCACAACAGACCUAGGAGGCAUUGCAAUCAGAAUCAUCCAAUGAAUUUGGGCAUGAAUACUAUGGGGAAUGGUUAUACAAGUCUGCAGGAGAAUGGAAUGGAAUCUCCUGUGCCUGUUAACUAUCAGAAUGGAGAUUAUGCAAGUCUACCACCUACUGCUAAUAAGAAUAAUGGUAUUACUGGUGAUGAACUGAAUUCAGAGCAUCGGAGGUAUUCUGAUCCUGGUCUUGGGUCUGCCGAAGCUCCUGUUCACGCUCAAAGCGAAGAUUCGGACAGUGUUGAUAGUGGAAGCUCCAUUACAACGAUUGGACGUAGCAAUAAACUUGUUCUGUCUCUCAUUGAGCAGAUGACAGAACUAAAGAAAAGCAAUAGUCAACUGUUUAAAGAAUUGAAUGAAACAAAGUCCGAGUUAGGUAGCAUGAAGGCAAAGUUCGCGCAGUGUAAAUACAAUGCCUCUUCAGAUUAUCAACCAGGAAUGUUAUCAGAUCUUAUCAGAGAAAUCCGGCAAGCCAACAAAACAUGCGAAGAGGGUUUGGUCAUCAAGGUGAAGUCCAUAAUGGAGGAGAAAUUGAAUCAAAGGUCGUUGGAAGUAACUAACUUAGGCAAUCAAAUUCUGAAAUUAAUGGAGGAGAAGGAGGAGAGCGAGAGGCGCAUCGAAAAAUUAGAAGAGGAGGUCGCCACACUGAAACUGAACGCAAACAACGAAGGCCGCGAGAUCGCAGCCUUCGAGGAAGAGACGCUGGCGCUGCGACGAGAGCUGCAGGAGGCGCGGGCGUCGAAGACACUGGCCGAGACACGCGCGGCUAAGUCCGUAAACGCAAGAUCGGUUACGCCUGUGUCCUUCGAUAAACCGUACGUGACCAGCACGCCCGUUCGUACAGCUCUCUCAGACACCUGUAGCUUGAUCCCACCACCACCACCACCGUCGUCGUCGUCGUCGUCGUCAUCGUCAUCGUCAUCGUCAUCGGUAGCCUCAUCCUCAGUCCCAACAUUCGGCCCGUAUCUUCUGGCGCAACGUUUCGUCACCGAGAAGUCGAGCAGUCAUCGUGCGACAACAGGCGAUUCUAACAACGAGUGGACAGUGGACGAUGACCAGAUCGCGGUGUCCAGUAGUCAGUUGUCAGUUGUAGCUACCAGUGACGCGGAUGGUAACUUGGAGGAGGCAUCCAGUUGUUCUACAUCCAUAGGGGGGACUCCGUUGGAGGAUAUAAAAGAGGUCACGGGACAGGAGGAUGAUUAUACCGAGGCUGGACACAUGGACGAGAUCGUUGAACGUAUCGCACGGAUAGAAGAGAUCGCGGCUGAUAUUGCUAAAGAGGUGGACUAUAAAGUGGACUCCACGGAGAGUAACCUAGAGGCUAACGAUCGGACUCUGUCCAGUGCGUUAGAGAAGAUGGUUAUAGUCUCGAGGAGCGAAACGAACAAUCCCAGUUCCAAGGACGAUGGCUUUCAUCGGGGUCAGAGGGGUAGCUCGAAGAGGUCCAAGAAGAAGAAGACAGUUGCGAAGAGGUCUUUCAGCGAGACGGAGAAAACGACGAACGAGGCCGCGUGUUACACGACGAACGAUCGGAGAACGGUGAGCGUGGACGUGGAUCAUCGUUUGGAUGACGAGGAGGCCGCGAGCCGAGCCAUCACCGAGAUCCCGGAAGUGACCGUGAUCGGUGGUGGCUCCUUCGGGCCGAAAGAUCUCUGCUCGACGGGAAUCCUGACCUCCAGAGUCCUGACAGCACCUUCACGCGCUACCUACACCACCGCCUACAUUUAGGCCACGUACCCGCGUGGCCCCACCCCCCAUCCACCUCCACUCCCGUGGCGGAUACCGCGAGCCACGUGUGUCGGCAAUAUGGGGGCUUCAGAAAAAAAAAAAAAAAACUGGGCUUGCUAGAGGCUACUACCGUGUACAUGUCGAAUAAGCACACGGGGAACACAGCUGGACAGUCAGACGCGUAAUAUGACGAUCAAGGACUGGGAAACGAUCGAGUC
rnacentral:misc_RNA from 1 species